rnacentral:rRNA from 1 species
UACAUGUGGGGCAAGCGUUGUUCGGAAUUACUGGGCAUAAAGGGUGCGUAGGUGGUUUGUUAAGUCACGGGUGAAAGUUUUCGGCCCAACCGGAAAAUUGCCUGUGAUACUGGCGAACUUGAGUGCGUGAGGGGUAACCAGAACGAGCAGUGUAGCGGUGAAAUGCGUAGAUAUUGCUCGGAAGGCCAGAGGCGAAGGCGGGUUACGUGGUACGCAACUGACACUGAGGCACGAAAGCGUGGGGAGCAAACAGG